UUAGGGUUCGAUUUCGGAGAGGGAGCAUGAGAAACGGCUACCACAUCUAAGGAAGGCAGCAGGCGCGUAAAUUACCCAAUCCUGACUCAGGGAGGUAGUGACAAGAAAUAGCAAACCGGGAACCUCAUGGUUUCACGGUAUUGCAAUGAGAACAAUUUAAAACCCUUAGCGAGAAUCAAGUGGAGGACAAGUCUGGUGCCAGCACCCGCGGUAAUUCCAGCUCCACUAGCGUAUAUUAAAGUUGUUGCAGUUAAAAAGCUCGUAGUUGAACCUCUGUCUGGGGCUAGUUUUGGCUUUGGUCAGGCUAGUUCUAGGCAUCCGCCUACAAGACUUAGAGGGCAUUCAGUUGUUCACUAGGAGGAGUAGGCAUUUUACUUUGAAAAAAUUAGAGUGUUUAAGGCAGGCAAUCGCCCGCAUAUAUUAGCAUGGAAUAAUAGAAUAGGACACUUUUCCAUUUCGUUGGUUAUUGGAAUCGUGUAAUGAUUAAUAGGGACAGUUGUGGGCAUUUGUAUUUAAUUGCCAGAGGUGAAAUUCUUGGAUUUAUUAAAGACAAACUAACGCGAAAGCAUUUGCCAAGGAUGUUUUCAUUAAUCAAGAACGAAAGUUAGGGGAUCAAAGACGAUCAGAUACCGUCCUAGUCUUAACUAUAAACUAUUCCGACUCAAUGUUUGACUGGCUUAUAUAACCAGUUGAGCGUUGUAUGAGAAAUCAAAGUCUUUAGGUUCUGGGGGGAGUAUGGUUGCAAAGCUGAAACUUAAAGGAAUUGACGGAAGAGCACAACCAGGAGUGGAUUCUGCGGCUUAAUUUGACUCAACACGGGGAAACUUACCAGGUUAAAACAAUAGUGGGAUUGACAGUUUGAGAGCGCUUUCUUGAUUGGUUGGGUGGUGGUGCAUGGCCGUUCUUAGUUGGUGGAGUGAUUUGUCUGCUUAAUUGCGUUAACGAACGAGACCUUAACCUGCUUACUAGACUGGCGAUCAUCAAUCGUUAGCUCUUCUUAGAGGGACUUUGGUUGUUUUAACUCCAAGGAAGUUUGAGGCAAUAACAGGUCUGUGAUGCCCUUAGAUAUCCUGGGCCGCACGCGUCAUACAAUGACUAGUUCAGAAAGUUUUCUCCUGACCCGAAAGGGGAUGGGUAAUCUUGAUAAUACUAGUCGUGUUAGGGAUCGAUCUUUGCAAUUAUAGAUCUUGAACGAGGAAUUCCUAGUAAGUGCGGUUCAUCAGACCGUACUGAUUACGUCCCUGCUCUUUGUACACACCGCCCGUCGCUUCUACCGAGUGGGUGGUCCGGUGAGAUAAUUGAACUUCGCAGGUAACUGAGAGGAAAGAUUAUCAAACCUAUCCACCUCGAGGAAGAAGAAGUCGUAACAAGGUU
rnacentral:rRNA from 1 species